rnacentral:rRNA from 1 species
UACGCAGGGGGCGAGCGUUGUCCGGAUUUAUUGGGCGUAAAGAGCGCGUAGGCGGCCAGAUAAGUCCGGUGUGAAAGUCAAAGGCUCAACCUUUGAAUGCCGCUGGAAACUGUCUGGCUAGAGUCCGGGAGGGGCGAGUGGAAUUCCUGGUGUAGCGGUGAAAUGCGCAGAUAUCAGGAGGAACACCGAUGGCGAAGGCAGGUCUCUGGGCCGCAACUGACGCUGAGGAGCGAAAGCAUGGGGAGCGAACAGG